rnacentral:rRNA from 1 species
UCGGGAGGCAGCAGUGGGGAAUAUUGCACAAUGGGCGCAAGCCUGAUGCAGCCAUGCCGCGUGUAUGAAGAAGGCCUUCGGGUUGUAAAGUACUUUCAGUCGUGAGGAAGGUGUUAAGGUUAAUAACCUUAGCAAUUGACGUUAGCGACAGAAGAAGCACCGGCUAACUCCGUGCCAGCAGCCGCGGUAAUACGGAGGGUGCGAGCGUUAAUCGGAAUUACUGGGCGUAAAGGGCACGCAGGCGGUUAAUUAAGUUGGAUGUGAAAUCCCCGGGCUUAACCUGGGAAUGGCAUUCAAGACUGGUUAGCUAGAGUCUUGUAGAGGGGGUAGAAUUCCAUGUGUAGCGGUGAAAUGCGUAGAGAUGUGGAGGAAUACCGGUGGCGAAGGCGGCCCCUGGACAAAGACUGACGCUCAUGUGCGAAAGCGUGGGGAGCAAAC